UGGGGAAUUUUGCACAAUGGGGGAAACCCUGAUGCAGCGACGCCGCGUGAUUAAGAAGGCCUUCGGGUUGUAAAAAUCUUUUUUAUGGGAUGAAAAUGACAGUACCAUAAGAAUAAGGUCCGGCUAAAUACGUGCCAGCAGCCGCGGUAAUACGUAUGGACCGAGCGUUUCCCGGAAUCAUUGGGCGUAAAGGGUACGUAGGCGGCCCAGUAAGUUAGAAGUGAAAUAAUAUAUCUCAACUAUAUAAAGCUUUUAAAACUGUUAGGCUUGAGAGAUGGAAGGAAAAGUGGAAUUCCUAGUGUAGCGGUGAAAUGCGCAGAUAUUAGGAAGAAUACCGGUGGCGAAGGCGACUUUCUGGUCAUCAUCUGACGCUGAGGUACGAAAGCGUGGGUAGCAAACAGG
rnacentral:rRNA from 1 species